GCCAUCUUAGCUCAGUUGGUAGAGCAGCGCAUUCGUAAUGCGCGGGUCGGGGGUUCAAGUCCCCCAGAUGGCU
rnacentral:tRNA from 1 species